CCGUAUUUUUGAACGUCAGAUUAUUUGCUGAGGUGGGGCCCACACAUCAAGAUUUUUUUUGGGACAUCUGAAAAGUCAUAUGAAUCACAUAUGUGAAGUUAAACACAACUCAAGAAGGACCCUUGGGCCAAAUCAAAGUGGAAGUCCUCCAAACGAAUAUUUUUAAGAAAACGUUUUCGGGUGAUCUGACUUCUAGGGGCAAAAACGGUAUUAUAAGUUUGGAAUUUGGAAAAUACCAAGAAAUAGAAGUUGUAGAUAAUUGAAUUAGCUUUCCAACCAUAGGUCGUGGGUUCCCAGGUGACAUCGGUACAAGGAGAUAUGGACGUUGUAAGGUCGAAAGGUCAGUGGGCUAGGCCCAACUCGGGAUCAACCGAGUUGGCCCAAAAAAAUAAAAAAACGAAUUAAGGCCCAAAGGAGAGGGGUGGCCGGCCAUCUUAUGGCCCAAGCCCACAAAAUUAAUAAAUUUCCCAUGUGAUAAUUAAUAUAAAGGAUCAUUAAAUUGUCUUGAAACAUUUAGAAGUUUCAAGACAAUUGAGAAAGAGAGAAACAAGAGAAAGAAGAGCAAGAAUAAGAAGGCCAUUUUCGGCCAAGCUCUAGACCAAAAAAAAAAAAAUUUUUUUUUUUUUUUCAAAAAUCAUUUUCUACCAAUUAAAGGGGUCCUUUACAACUUGGUGUAAUUAUUUUGGAAGAAAGAACACUUGUUUCUUCAAGUUGACAACUUGGUCAAGUGAAGAAGAUUGUAGAAAAAGAUUUUGGCGAACUUGAAACUUGAUUUUGGAGACGUGUAUGAAUCGGAAAAGGUCAACAGGUAGACAGAUUUGACUCUUAGAAGCUCCAUCAGCAGUACUGUGGCAGCGCUCCAGUUGUUCCGGAGCCUCAGUUUCUUGGUACUACUUUUGUGUACAUAUUCGGGCACGGUAGAACCGGUCCUUCUUGUAUAUGUAGAUGUACUUUGUUUAGAGGCUCAUAGACAGAUAUGUACUGUCAGAUGUUUUGUACUUUUGUGGUCUUCGUCGUUGUAUA